AAGCAAGCAAGCCCUCAAAGGAACUGAGAAAAUUUCUCCCCACUUUGUUCUGAGGGGUCUCAGCUACUCUGGUAUUUAAAAUAAAUUGGUUUUGAAAAAUAGGUUACUGCCCUUUAGUUGAUGACUAAAACAGAAGCCAAGAAGUGUGCAAAUUGCAAACUGACAUGCAUGAGCCAAGCGUAUUCUCUGAAAUGACAAUGUUCAAGACGCAGCUAAAGUCACCACUCUGGCGGUAAGCGUGUUACAGAGAACUAGAUUUCUUUCCGGCAUCCGCAACUUGGCUGGAGUGACCAAGGAGGAGUUGAAGAGCGCUGGAGAUGCGAGAGAAGGAACAAGCUAUAAAUCGGGCUGGAAUUGUUCAAGAGGAUGUGCAGCCACCAGGGUUAAAAGUGUGGUCUGAUCCAUUUGGCAGGAAAUGAGAGGGCUGUCACCAGCUCUGAUUAAGAAAGGAGAUUUCUUCAUGCUUUCGAUUCUGCAUGGGGUACAGUCAGUCACCUCACCAGAGAAUGACGGCUGGAGAAGAAAAUUCUAAUACCAUAAAUGAGAGUGCUUGUAAUAAAAGACUGUGCACAAGGAUUAAUAUUUCCCUUCUUAAGUAUCAAAAGAACUCUGGAACAAAUUAUACCAUUAGGAAGGUUUUCAUGAUUCAGUAGAUUUUCCAAAAAUGAAGCUAUCUCACCCAGCUGGGUUUGGAGCAAUCUGCUUAUUAUUCUGUCGUUACCACUUACUCAAGCGAGCUGUGAUAUGAAUACAAGCAACCAGUGGGCU
rnacentral:sRNA from 1 species